UGGGGAAUAUUGGACAAUGGAGGAAACUCUGAUCCAGCAAUUCUGUGUGUGUGAAGAAGGUCUUCGGAUUGUAAAAUACUUUUAGUUGGGAAGAAACAAAUGACGGUACCAACAGAAGAAGCGACGGCUAAAUACGUGCCAGCAGCCGCGGUAAUACGUAUGUCGCAAGCGUUAUCCGGAAUUAUUGGGCUUAAAGGGCAUCUAGGCGGUAUAACAAGUUGAAGGUGAAAAGCUGUAGCUCAACUAUAGUCUUGCCUACAAAACUGUAAUACUAGAGUACUGGAAAGGUGGGUGGAACUACACGAGUAGAGGUGAAAUUCGUAGAUAUGUGUAGGAAUGCCGAUGAUGAAGAUAACUCACUGGACAGAAACUGACGCUGAAGUGCGAAAGCUAGGGGAGCAAACAGGAUUAGAUACCCUGGUAGUCCUAGCUGUAAACGAUGAUUACUGGGUGUGGGGAUGAGAAGUCUCUGUGCCGAAGCAAAAGCGAUAAGUAAUCCGCCUGGGGAGUACGUUCGCAAGAAUG
rnacentral:rRNA from 1 species